CACGCAGGCGGUCUGUCAAGUCGGAUGUGAAAUCCCCGGGCUCAACCUGGGAACUGCAUUCGAAACUGGCAGGCUAGAGUCUUGUAGAGGGGGGUAGAAUUCCAGGUGUAGCGGUGAAAUGCGUAGAGAUCUGGAGGAAUACCGGUGGCGAAGGCGGCCCCUGGACAAAGACUGACGCUCAGGUGCGAAAGCGUGGGGAGCAAACA
rnacentral:rRNA from 1 species